rnacentral:rRNA from 1 species
GAUGAACGCUAGCGGCAGGCCUAAUACAUGCAAGUCGAACGAUAGUGAGAAGCUUGCUUCUCACGAAAGUGGCGCACGGGUGCGUAACGCGUAUGCAACCUACCUUAAUCAGGGGGAUAGCCCGAAGAAAUUCGGAUUAACACCGCAUAAAAUCACAGUAUAGCAUUAUACAAUGAUCAAAUAUUUAUAGGAUUAAGAUGGGCAUGCGUGACAUUAGUUAGUUGGCGGGGUAACGGCCCACCAAGACCACGAUGUCUAGGGGAUCUGAGAGGAUGACCACCCGCGCUGGUACUGAGACACGGACCAGACUCCUACGGGAGGCAGCAGUAAGGAAUAUUGGUCAAUGGAGGCAACUCUGAACCAGCCAUGCCGCGUGCAGGAAGACAGCCCUCUGGGUCGUAGACUGCUUUUAUUCGGGAAUAAACCUAUCUACGUGUAGAUAGCUGAAUGUACCGAAGGAAUAAGGAUCGGCUAACUCCGUGCCAGCAGCCGCCGUAA